CUUUGUGUCAGUACGUCAUCGAUAGAACAAGGCAUCAGUUUUAUGUCGGGUUUUGUCUUGUCGCAUCGCAUUCAGUGUACACAGCGUCACUGAAUAUAGUGGUUUCUACUGUAUUUUGCCGCUCGCGU